rnacentral:rRNA from 1 species
CAGUUCGGAUCGGAGUCUGCAACCCGACUCCGUGAAGCUGGAUUCGCUAGUAAUCGCGCAUCAGCCAUGGCGCGGUGAAUACGUUCCCGGGCCUUGUACACACCGCCCGUCCAAGCCAUGGGGAGCCGGGGGGUGCUUGAAGUGCGUCGCCGCAAGGCGCGCCCUAGAGCAAAACCGGUGACUGGGGCUAAGUCGUAACAAGGUACC